GCCCUCCUGAUUGAUGCUUACCACAGGUUCUGUUCUUACUCUGACCAUAUAGAAAAAGGGGAGGCAGAGUAAGCCUAUCCCAUGUCGGCCUCAGUCCAGGCCCUGCGCCUGGUGGGUGUUACGAAUGGGAAAACAUGG
ensembl:snoRNA